rnacentral:rRNA from 1 species
UACAGAGGGUGCGAGCGUUAAUCGGAAUUACUGGGCGUAAAGGGCGCGUAGGUGGUUUUAUAAGUGUAUUGUGAAAUACCCGGGCUUAACCUGGGGAGGUCAAUGCAGACUGUAGAACUAGAGUAUGGUAGAGGGUGGCGGAAUUUCCGGUGUAGCGGUGAAAUGCGUAGAGAUCGGAAGGAACAUCAGUGGCGAAGGCGGCCACCUGGACUAAUACUGACACUGAGGCGCGAGAGCGUGGGGAGCAAACAGG